GACAGCCACUAGAGGGCACUUCCGUGUCUAUAGCACAGGUUUUCUGUGCUAGAUCAUCGCUGGACGUCCUCAUGUUGUGUGAGGACCUCCAGCGUCGCUCAAUUCCCCUUAGGAAAGCAUUGAAAAGCAUUGCCGUGCAUGCGCAUUAGGUCUCCCCAGCUGGCGGGCGGGAUCAGUCUCGCCCACUGGCCGACGUAAUGAAGAGGAGGAGCGGCGGCG